UACAGAGGGGGGCGAGCGUUGUUCGGAAUUACUGGGCGUAAAGGGCGCGUAGGCGGCCAACUAAGUCAGACGUGAAAUCCCUCGGCUCAACCGGGGAACUGCGUCUGAUACUGGAUGGCUUGAAUUCGGGAGAGGGAUGCGGAAUUCCCCAGUGUAGCGGUGAAAUGCGUAGAUAUUGGGAGGAACACCAGUGGCGAAGGCGGCUCACUGGACCGGAACUGACGCUGAGGCGCGAAAGCGUGGGGAGCAAACAGG
rnacentral:rRNA from 1 species